CUCGUAGGCGGCCAACUAAGUCGGAUGUGAAAUCCCCAGGCUCAACUUGGGAACUGCAUCCGAUACUGGAUGGCUUGAAUCCGGGAGAGGGAUGCAGAAUUCCAGGUGUAGCGGUGAAAUGCGUAGAUAUCUGGAGGAAUACCGGUGGCGAAGGCGGCAUCCUGGACCGGCAUUGACGCUGAUGAGCGAAAGCGUAGGGGAGCAAACG
rnacentral:rRNA from 1 species